GAUGAAGAACGCAGCGAAAUGCGAUAAGUAAUGUGAAUUGCAGAAUUCAGUGAAUCAUCGAAUCUUUGAACGCACCUUGCGCUCCUUGGUAUUCCGAGGAGCAUGCCUGUUUGAGUGUCAUUAAAUUCUCAAUCUCUACAACUUUGUGUUGUCUAGAUUGGAAGUGGGGGUUCGUUGUGUGGAAUCUAAUUCCUCACUCCCCUUAAAUGCAUUAGCUGGAAUGCCUCUGCAUAUCUGACUAUCAGUGUGAUAAUUAUCUAUGCUGUAGUUGUUGCAUGAGGGUAUCUGCUUCAUAAAUCGUCGCAAGACAAUUCUAUAUGACCAUCUUGACCUCAAAUCAGGUAGGACUACCCGCUGAACUUAAGCAUAUCAAUAAGCGGAGGA
rnacentral:misc_RNA from 1 species